rnacentral:rRNA from 1 species
GACAGAGGGUGCAAACGUUGUUCGGAAUUACUGGGCGUAAAGCGCGUGUAGGCGGCUGCGCAAGUCGGGUGUGAAAGCCCUGGGCUCAACCCAGGAAGUGCACUCGAAACUGCGUAGCUGGAGUCUCGGAGAGGGAGGCGGAAUUCUGGGUGUAGAGGUGAAAUUCGUAGAUAUCCAGAGGAACACCGGUGGCGAAGGCGGCCUCCUGGACGAGAACUGACGCUGAGACGCGAAAGCGUGGGGAGCGAACAGG